AUUCCCAAACCCGCCAACCAAGUCUUCUCUCUCUUUUCUUCUCUUUCUCUCAAGCCAAACACAAAACACGAUUCCACUUUCACUUCUCUGGAUUCUCGGGAAAACGUCCAUGUCUUCGUUUCUUUCUCGAGAAUCUGAACCUGAUUCACGUACUUUUUACUGCCGCAAAGAGAAAUCUCUCGGCCUUUUAUGCUCCAAUUUCUUGGAGUUGUAUAACCAUGACAGCAUUCAAACGAUUGGACUUGACGAUGCAGCUUCAAAAUUAGGAGUUGAACGUCGUCGUAUAUAUGAUGUAGUGAAUAUAUUGGAGAGUAUUGGAGUUGUGGCAAGAAAAGGGAAGAACCAAUACUCAUGGAAGGGUUUUGGAGAAAUUCCAAGGGCUUUGGAGAAGCUUAAGGAAGAGGCUCUGAAAGAGAAUUUUUAUAUUUCUGGUUGCAACAAAUCAUUAAGGGUCUUAGAUGAAAAUGAAAGUGGAGGGUCUUUUAACGUGAAGAUUGAUGGGCAAGAUAAUAGUUCGGAAUCAUCAAAACAUAUCGAUACCAAAAGAGAAAAAUCUCUUUGGCUUAUCACGCAGAACUUUGUCAAGCUUUUCCUUUGUUCAGAUGUAAGAAAACUUCUUUUCAAUGUGGGUUUGCUGUUUAUGAAUUGUUUGUUAGCCCUGUCUGGUGAAUAUCUGAUUUCUUUUCUACAGGCUGAAAUUAUCACUCUUGAUAGUGCUGCGGUUGCUUUGCUGGGUGAUGUCCACAAUUCAACUGCUAUGAGAACAAAAGUUAGACGAUUGUAUGACAUUGCCAAUGUGUUUUCUUCCAUGAAUUUAAUUGAGAAGACCCACCACCCCGAAAGCAGGAAACCGGCAUUUAGGUGGCUGGGAUGGGGAGCCAAACUUCAUAAUGGAUCAACGACAGCUUUGGCUUUGAAUGAAUCAAAGAAGAGGAUGUUUGGAACCGAGAUUGCAAACCACAGUUUAAAGAGAAUGAAGGCAAACACCUCAGUUCAUCGGAAGUUAAACCAGAAGGAAAAUAUGGCAAUGCAUAUUAAACACGAGUGUGUAGAAAAAGAUAACAAAAUGGAGCAGCAUCUAAAGCAGAGCUCCAGAGGUUUUGUGUUCGGCCCUUUUACUCCAGGGGGUAUGCCCACAGGAAACAAAAAUGAGAGACCAGUUGGGGACUGGGAGAGCCUUGCGUCUACGUAUAAACCUCAUUAUCUUAAUCAAGCUCUUAGUGACCUCUUUGCUCAUUACAUGGAAGCAUGGAAGUCUUGGUAUGCAGAAGUUGCCGGAAGAGGAGAAACUCAUUUAAGUCCCUGACCCUCUUCUCUCUUUUUCUAACUCAAGAUCACCAAACACACAAGUUCAAAAUGGAAAGCAAACAUGUUUUACAGGACAGCAUGCAGUGCACAUACAUAGAUUAGAUGCGAUACCCAAAACAGCUAAGCUACGUGGGCUACAUUCUUCAGUUUUCUGACUUGUGUGAAAAGCUAAGACGUGGUGACUCUGCUUCCUGUUUGCCAACGUCACCUUGAUUCCACAUUGGGGUCCUCCCUCGUUUGAAAUUACCGGCUAAAUCCUCCGAAGUUCAACAUAAUUUCAGGUUCCCAUCAACAGCAAUCAUACCAUUGUUUCUGUUCACAUCAUGGUGAAUUUGUCCUAACCUCAAGAAUCCUUAUCUCACCCAGGCUUAGAAUUUUCAAACUUUGCAGAUAUCACAAAGGGGGUCAAAAUCACAGGUUUUGUGGUGCUCAAGUGUUUGCUGAGAAACCAUGAGAGCCACAUGCGCCCCACUUGUUCGUUGUCCCAAUUUUGACAAACGUGAUUUUACUGAGACAACGAACAAUGGGCCUACCAACGUUUAGUGCUUUUUCUUGAACCAACCAUCAAUGGGUUUUUGCCUAAUUCGGCUCUUGCUUUUUGUAUCAUGGAAUGACCCCUGGGUGAGGGGGAAAGUGAAACCCGAAACAUUAAUCACAAGUUGGACAAAAUCACCAACACUGUUUACUGUUUUCCAUGACUUAAGAUGACUGGGUUCAUUCCCUUUGACGCCAGAUAAAGUAGUUUCGUCCCCUCCUACUAAGCAUGCAUUGAUGCCAAACAACCUUCUCUCCCCUGCUCACCCACGUUGUUAAUUUUAAGUAACUUCUUUUAAUAUCCUUAUCUUCUCAAAAUGUUGGUUACGUAAAAAUAAAUAUUAUAAUAAUAAUAAUAAUUUGUUAUUCUUUAAAUAAUCAAAAUACAAAAAAAUGAAUAAAUAU